GAGGGUAUGGCUCAGUGGUAGAGCGUGUGCUUAGCAUGCACGAGGUCCUGGGUUCAAUCCCCAGCACCUCCG
rnacentral:tRNA from 1 species